AGGAAGUAGAGUUAGCAAGCACCCAGCUGGCUCUGGGGCUUCAGCUGUCCCCCUUUCUGUAG
rnacentral:miRNA from 14 species